rnacentral:rRNA from 1 species
AGCGUAGACGGUGAGACAAGUCUGAAGUGAAAUCCCGGGGCUCAACCCCGGAACUGCUUUGGAAACUGCCUGACUAGAGUGCAGGAGAGGUAAGUGGAAUUCCUAGUGUAGCGGUGAAAUGCGUAGAUAUUAGGAGGAACACCAGUGGCGAAGGCGGCUUACUGGACUGUAACUGACGUUGAGGCUCGAAAGCGUGGGGAGCAAACA